AUUGAACGCUGUCGGCAGGCUUAACACAUGCAAGUCGAGCGAGCGGCGGACGGGUGAUUAAUGUCUGGGAAACUGCCUGAUGGAGGGGGAUAACUACUGGAAACGGUAGCUAAUACCGCAUAACAUAAGAUGUCCCCAGAUGGGAUUAGCUAGUAGGUGGGGUAAUGGCUCACCUAGGCGACGUUCCCUAGCUGGUCUGAGAGGAUGACCAGCCACACUAGAACUGAGACACGGUCCAGACUCGUACGGGAGGCAGCAGGGGGGAAUAUUCCACAAUUGGCGCAAGCCUGAUGCAGCCAUGCCGCGUGUGUGAUGAAGGCCUUCGGGUUGUUAAGCACUUUCAGCGAGGAGGCGUUACUCGCAGAGGAAGCACCGGCUAAUUCCGUGCUAGCCGCCGCGGUAAUUC
rnacentral:rRNA from 1 species